rnacentral:misc_RNA from 1 species
UCCCGGUUAACCCGGGCAGUCUCGCUAGAGUUCCCAGCACUACCUGAUGGCAACUAACGAUAAGGGUUGCGCUCGUUGCGGGACUUAACCCAACACCUCACGGCACGAGCUGACGACAGCCAUGCAGCACCUGUGCAGAGGUCCUUGCGGAAGGGCCUGUUUCCAGACCUGUCCUCUGCAUGUCAAGCCUAGGUAAGGUUCUUCGCGUUGCAUCGAAUUAAACCACAUACUCCACUGCUUGUGCGGGUCCCCGUCAAUUCUUUUGAGUUUCACCCUUGCGAGCGUACUCCCCAGGCGGUGUACUUAACACGUUAGCUACGGCACAGUCAGGGUUGAGUCCGACUACACCAAGUACACAUCGUUUACGGCAAGGACUAC